AUGGCUUAGUGCUCGAAAGAGAGCCGUAACACAGGUGCUGCAUGGCUGUCGUCAGCUCGCGUCGUGAGAUGUUGGGUUAAGUCCCGCAACGAGCGCAACCCUUGUCAUUAGUUGCUACGAAAGGGCACUCUAAUGAGACUGCCGGUGACAAACCGGAGGAAGGUGGGGAUGACGUCAAGUCCUCAUGGCCCUUAUAGGUGGGGCUACACACGUCAUACAAUGGCCGGUACAAAGGGUCGCAAACCCGCGAGGGGGAGCCAAUCCAUCAAAGCCGGUCGUAGUCCGGAUCGCAGUCUGCAACUCGACUGCGUGAAGUCGGAAUCGCUAGUAAUCGUGGAUCAGCAUGUCACGGUGAAUACGUUCCCGGGUCUU
rnacentral:rRNA from 1 species